GACGAACGCUGGCGGCGUGCCUAACACAUGCAAGUCGAGCGAAAUCUCUCUGGUUCUUUCACUUGAAAGACUUAGCGGCGAACGGGUGAGUAACACGUAAAGAACCCUCCUCAUUGACUGGGACUAAUAUAGGAAACGAUAGCCAAUAACCGAUAACAGCAUUAACUGGAUGGUUGAGGAUUAUCAGUUCGUUUGGGUAAGACUAUGAGAUGGCUUUGCGGUGUAUUAGCUAGUUGGCGGGGUAACGGCCUACCAAGGCGACGAUGCGUAGCCGACCUGAGAGGGUGAUCGGCCACACUGGAACUGAGACACGGCCCAGACUCCUACGGGAGGCAGCAGUAGGGAAUCUUCCGCAAUGGGCGAAAGCCUGACGCAGCAACGCCGCGUGAGUGAAGAAGGAUUUCGGUUCGUAAAGCUCUGUUGUUAGGGAAGAAUGGCUGUGUAGUAACACUACGCAGUAGUGACGGUACCUAACCAAAAAGCCACGGCUAACUACGUG
rnacentral:rRNA from 1 species